rnacentral:lncRNA from 1 species
UUCGCAAUAAAUUCCCCUGACCAUGGGCGGCCCACUACCAGACAGUUACAAAUGUCGCCAUCAAUCUGUUGCCUCCUCCGCCUAUAAAAGGGGGAUCCAGAUACGUUAUUCUCUAAGCUCAUUUUUUAUCUCAAAACUCUGCUAAAUUCUCUGUUCGAGCACUCCAUUCUUGUUGAGGCAGAGAACUGACUUGAGCGUCGGAGGGUCUUGCCGGAGCAACCCCACCUCCGGUUUAGACUUCCUUUGCAGGUCCC